rnacentral:rRNA from 1 species
AGGAAGGCAGCAGUGAGGAAUAUUGGUCAAUGGGCGGGAGCCUGAACCAGCCAAGUCGCGUGGGGGACGACGGUCCUACGGAUUGUAAACCCCUUUUGCCGGGGAGUAACGUGCGGGACGCGUCCCGCAGUGAGAGUACCCGGAGAAAAAGCAUCGGCUAACUCCGUGCCAGCAGCCGCGGUAAUACGGAGGAUGCGAGCGUUAUCCGUAUUUAUUGGGUUUAAAGGGUGCGCAGGCGGCGCGUCAAGUCAGCGGUCAAAUCCCGGUGCUCAACGCCGGUCCGCCGUUGAAACUGCCGUGCUCGAAUUCGUGCGAGGAGAGCGGAAUGCGUGGUGUAGCGGUGAAAUGCAUAGAUAUCAUGCAGAACGCCGAUUGCGAAGGCAGCCCUCCAGCACUGGACUGACGCUCAUGCACGAAAGCGUGGGUAUCGAACAGGAUUAGAUACCCUGGUA